rnacentral:rRNA from 1 species
UGGGGAAUAUUGCACAAUGGGCGCAAGCCUGAUGCAGCCAUGCCGCGUGUGUGAAGAAGGCCUUCGGGUUGUAAAGCACUUUCAGCGAGGAGGAAGGUGGUGAGCUUAAUACGCUCAUCAAUUGACGUUACUCGCAGAAGAAGCACCGGCUAACUCCGUGCCAGCAGCCGCGGUAAUACGGAGGGUGCAAGCGUUAAUCGGAAUUACUGGGCGUAAAGCGCACGCAGGCGGUUUGUUAAGUCAGAUGUGAAAUCCCCGGGCUCAACCUGGGAACUGCAUUUGAAACUGGCAAGCUAGAGUCUCGUAGAGGGGGUAGAAUUCCAGGUGGUAGCGGUGAAAUGCGUAGAGAUCUGGAGGAAUACCGGUGGCGAAGGCGGCCCCCUGGACGAAGACUGACGCUCAGGUGCGAAAGCGUGGGGAGCAAACAGGAUUAGGAUACCCUGGUAGUCCACGCUGUAAACGAUGUCNAUUUGGAGGUUGUGCCCUUGAGGCGUGGCUUCCGGAGCUAACGCGUUAAAUCGACCGCCUGGGGAGUACGGCCGCAAGGUUAAAACUC